rnacentral:rRNA from 1 species
AAGACCUUGCACUUUUGGAGCGGCCGAUGUCUGAUUAGCUAGUUGGUGGGGUAAUGGCCUACCAAAGCUUCGAUCAGUAGCUGGUCUGAGAGGACGGCCAGCCACACUGGGACUGAGACACGGCCCAGACUCCUACGGGAGGCAGCAGUGGGGAAUUUUGGACAAUGGGCGCAAGCCUGAUCCAGCCAUGCCGCGUGAGUGAAGAAGGCCUUCGGGUUGUAAAGCUCUUUCAGCCGGGGAGAAAAGGUUGCGACUAAUAAUCGCAAUUCAUGACGGUACCGAAAGAAGAAGCACCGGCUAACUACGUGCCAGCAGCCGCGGUAAUACGUAGGGUGCGAGCGUUAAUCGGAAUUACUGGGCGUAAAGGGUGCGCAGGCGGUUUUGUAAGUCAGAUGUGAAAUCCCCGGGCUUAACCUGGGAACU